rnacentral:rRNA from 1 species
UCCUACGGGAGGCAGCAGUAGGGAAUCUUCCGCAAUGGACGAAAGUCUGACGGAGCAACGCCGCGUGAGUGAUGAAGGCUUUCGGGUCGUAAAACUCUGUUGUUAGGGAAGAACAAGUGCUAGUUGAAUAAGCUGGCACCUUGACGGUACCUAACCAGAAAGCCACGGCUAACUACGUGCCAGCAGCCGCGGUAAUACGUAGGUGGCAAGCGUUAUCCGGAAUUAUUGGGCGUAAAGCGCGCGCAGGUGGUUUCUUAAGUCUGAUGUGAAAGCCCACGGCUCAACCGUGGAGGGUCAUUGGAAACUGGGAGACUUGAGUGCAGAAGAGGAAAGUGGAAUUCCAUGUGUAGCGGUGAAAUGCGUAGAGAUAUGGAGGAACACUAGUGGCGAAGGCGACUUUCUGGUCUGUAACUGACACUGAGGCGCGAAAGCGUGGGGAGCAAACAGGAUUAGAUACCCUGGUAGUCCACGCCGUAAACGAUGAGUGCUAAGUGUUAGAGGGUUUCCGCCCUUUAGUGCUGAAGUUAACGCAUUAAGCACUCCGCCUGGGGAGUACGGCCGCAAGGCUGAAACUCAAAGGAA